GAUCAUGCCAGUACCAUAGCCUAGCUGUCCAGCACACAAUAUAAGGCCCGCAAAACUGUAUCUGUUUCUACUGACGACUUGAAAACGGGCUGAAAGCCUCCUGUGUGUAACGUUAGACACCCUGCUUCAUAGAGUUUCAGCUCAUUGUUUAGCUGGCCUGCGACUUUACUGUUUUGGUUCACUUUCACCGCUCUCAUUUUCGGCUGCAGCCCUUAUAUACAGUAGAUGACUGCAGCAGACGGACAAAGUUAGCGGCUAGGCCAAGUAGACAGAAGCACAAUCCCAAAUAAAUGUUUUUACGUAACUGCUAUGAUAUGAUGGCUUUGUGAAGAAAUAAGUGGAUUGGUGAUCUCUUAUCAACUGUCUGAAAGAUGUGCUUCGAAGUUCGAAUGGGGUUUUCUACCAUAGCCGUGGCACUGACGUUGACUCUUCCCAAACAAAUGCCAGGCUAAGGACCAUAUGAUGGCAUACUGGAAUCGUAUAAUUGCUUUGAAGCAAUCUGCGUUUUUCUUAG